CUAUUCUAAACACGGCAUUCUGAUUAACAGUGCGUUUGGGGUGUAUGAAUUUCAAGUUCAAAUCCAUCCGUUUAUUUUUCCAGCUCUGGGGGAGAGGUUCUGUUCAUAGAAGUCAUGCUCUUUGUAAUUGCAGAACCCGAGCCAGCAACGUUAAACUGGUCUGAGUUGAGUCGCCCAGAUUGGGCAAGGGGUGGGAGGAAUCCAUCAGGUUACUGGUAAUUAGGUGAUAAACUAUUAAUUCAUGUCCUCAUCGAAUACGUAAAAGAAAUAUUUGCAGUGGUUAACCCCUAAUACAUUUUGACUAUUGCAAAACCCGAGGCAGCAAACUGGCGGUUCAAAGUUGAGCAGCGCAGGCUCAGCAAAUUUAAAAAACUUCCGUUGUCAGAGGAACCUCUUCAGGAAACGUUAAUGAUCAUUUCAACAAAAAUGUAAAAAAUGUGUUCAGUAAAAAAUCAAGUUUCUUUUUAAUAUGAUCAAUUUUGAAUGUGUUCGAAAUUUCCUUAAGAUAAU